UUGUCAGUGCUCAGUCAACUUUUUAUUCAAGGAAAUGAACAUACAACUCAGCAACACUUCCCAGUAGGUCUUGCCCCUGUGGAGAAGUUGUCAGGACUGAGGUCCCUGCCUUCUAAGGCUCCUCCUCUCCCAAGCAGUCAUAGAGGCCUUUCCAACUAAGUGUAAGGAAUAACUUUCUGACAGUAAGAGCUGUUAAGCAGUGGAACAGACUCUCUCAAAGGGUGGUGGACUCUCCUUUCUUGGAGGUUUUGAAGCAGAGGUUGGAUGGCCACCUGUCAUGGAUGUAUUUUAGCUGAGAUUCCU